rnacentral:rRNA from 1 species
AUUGAACGCUGGCGGCAGGCUUAACACAUGCAAGUCGAGCGGGGGAAGGUAGCUUGCUACCGGACCUAGCGGCGGACGGGUGAGUAAUGCUUAGGAAUCUGCCUAUUAGUGGGGGACAACAUCUCGAAAGGGAUGCUAAUACCGCAUACGUCCUACGGGAGAAAGCAGGCGAUCUUCGGACCUUGCGCUAAUAGAUGAGCCUAAGUCGGAGUAGCUAGUUGGUGGGGUAAAGGCCUACCAAGGCGACGAUCUGUAGCGGGUCUGAGAGGAUGAUCCGCCACACUGGGGCUGAGACACGGCCCAGACUCCUACGGGAGGCAGCAGUGGGGAAUAUUGGACAAUGGGGGGAACCCUGAUCCAGCCAUGCCGCGUGUGUGAAGAAGGCCUUAUGGUUGUAAAGCACUUUAAGCGAGGAGGAGGCUACUCUAGUUAAUACCUAGGGAUAGUGGACGUUACUCGCAGAAUAAGCACCGGCUAACUCUGUGCCAGCAGCCGCGGUAA